rnacentral:lncRNA from 10 species
GAGCACUAGAGAGAGAGAGAGAGAGAGCAAGCGCACAAGAUGAAGGGGGAGAAGACGGAAGGUGGGGGUUGGAAUCACACUCUCUGUGGUUUUCACAUCCUUUGAGGCCCCUGCUCUUAAUGUUAGUUAAUAGCUCUUAGUUUUGUCAACUUCAAUGCCAAGGUAAAAAUAUUUUAGUGAAUGAGGAGCUCUCUCCACUUAUGUAUCAGGCUGUCUCUUCGGAUAAAUGCUCACUCCACCUGCAGGUUUCUAAGAGAGUCCUGGGUAGAGCUCCUGACUGUCCUAAGAACUCCUCUGAAUAAACAGAUCCUGCCAAUGGCUGGGCUUUGGAUAGGCCAAUUCAAGCUGUGGCCCAUGAAAACUGGGCUUUGUAGCCCCUCCCUGGGUUGAUUUGAGAAAAAGAUUUGUGAAUGCUGGUAUUUUCAUAGCAAUUAAUUAUUUCAACACACUUUACCUCUCACCAGGCAACUGAAGGAGCUCCUCACUUGGGUACUGUUAAUACCACUAAUCCAUCUGACCUUCCUGCAAGGUAAAAAUCUCUUCAUUCUUAUCCCCAUUUGGCAGAUUUUAAUUAACUUCUCAAGGCCAACCAAUUAAUCAGUGGAAAGCAGAGAUGAAAAGUGGGACACCUGUCUCCCUGUGUGCUCAAAAUCACCAGCCACACUCCCAUUGUCUUUCCUGCCAAGCCCUGGGUCUGCAGGAAAAAGCCAAAGGCCUUCGCCAGCAGAGAAGAGCAGAGCUCGAAAAUCCAUCAGCCUAACAGGUAGUCACACUGCACGACCAGUUUCCUGCUGAGACAAAAUAAAUGAUUCCUUGAGCUCCAAUAUCCUGGGCUUUUCCUUAAGAUGAGAAUACUUGUGUCAAAUUGUCAAAACCCAGAUGUCACUGAACGGAAACUCUGGGACCGGGACACGGAAAUCUCAAAUUGUUUGAUCACCUCCUCGUCACUGUCAGAAGAUGUGGACAGCUCUUCGUCAUCCCCAAAGCUGUUGACUGGGAGUAAACAAGAGCCAUGAGUCUCCUGUGUGGCCUAUAUGCUCGAAUACAGAGAUAGACUCUCCAGGAAAACAGAAGAGAAGAACGUGGACAAUGAGUUUGAACGAAGGCACACUCAAACUGGAUAGAAAAAAAAUUUAAAGCACUUUUGCAACACAAAUUUGAGUCCAAAGCAAAGAAUGCUCAUGAAGGUAAUUAGAAAUACGGUAUAUAGCUAGAACCCAAGACAAAUCAUUGGGACACCCAUAAUCAUCAUAAUGAACCCUCAUGUUGAGCCAGGCAGCCCUGCUGAUUUGUUACGCUGCUUAAAUGUGUUCAUAACUGGAAACAGAACGUUUAUCAGCACAUUUGCCUUAUAUGCAGUUCUAGUCAAUGACCAUGGGAUGUAUGCUCUUCAUCUAAUCUCAUUUAUUAAAACACACAUAGCCAAUCCCCACUUCGGAGAAGGAAUAUCUACAACACGAUUUUAUUUUCCAAAAGCUUUCUAGUUUUGAAAAGAGACCCCACCAGACGCAGUGGCUCACGCCUGUAAUCCCAGCACGUUGGGAGGCCGAGGUGGGCAGAUCACUUGAGGUCAGGAGUUCCAGACCAGCCUGGCCAAUAUGGUGAAACCCUGUCUCUACAAAAAAUACAAAAAUUAGCCAGGCACGGUGUCAGGAGCCUGUAAUCCUGGCUACUCGGGAGGCUGAGACAGGAGAAUCACUUGAACCCAGGAAGUGGAGGUUGCAGUGAGCUGAGAUCGCACCACUGCACUCCAGCCUCGGUGACAGAGUGAGACACUGUCUCAAAAAAAAGAAAAAGAAGAGAAAAGAGACUCAUUGUGUGUGUGUGUGUGUGUUUUAACUCAUUUAGAAAUUUUCUGAAUCUUUCUCAGCAUCAACAACCCAACCUUUGAAAAAUAAGUUGUAUUGUACAUAUUUGAGGUUUACAACAUGAUGGUAUGGGAUACAUACAGAUAGUAAAAUGGUUCCUAGAGUGAAGCAAAUUAACAUAUCUAUCACCUCACAUAGUUACUUUUUUGUGUAACAAGAGCAGCUGAAAUCUACUUAUUCAACAAAAGCUCCUAAUGAAAUACAGUUUUAUUCACUAUAAUCCACAUCUUAUAGGUUAGAUCUGUAGACUUGUUCAUCCUGCAUAUCCGCUUUGUAUACUUUGACAUGCAUCCCUACUCCUGCCCCCUGCCCCUUGGUAACUGUUUUGUUUUGUUUUGUUUUGUUUUGUUUUGUUUUGUUUUUUUAGAUUCCACAUCUAAGUGAAAUGAUGCACUAUGCCUCUUUCUGUGUCUGGCUUAUUUCAUUUAGCAUAAUGUCCUCCAGUUCCAUUCAUGUUAGGGCAAAUGGCAGAUCUCCUUUUUAAAAAUUUUUUUUUCAUUGUCAAUAUAAAAAUCUCCUUCCUUUCUAAGGCAUAUUUAUGUACCA